UACGUAGGGGGCAAGCGUUAUCCGGAUUUACUGGGUGUAAAGGGCGUGCAGCCGGAGAGACAAGUCAGAUGUGAAAUCCACAGGCUCAACCUGUGAACUGCAUUUGAAACUGUUAUUCUAGAGUAUGGGAGAGGUAGGUGGAAUUCUUGGUGUAGGGGUAAAAUCCGUAGAGAUCAAGAGGAAUACUCAUUGCGAAGGCGACCUGCUAGAACAUAACUGACGCUGAUGCGCGAAAGCGUGGGGAGCAAACAGG
rnacentral:rRNA from 1 species